UCGGGAUGCUCUCUGUUGCCAUAGGGGAUGGGAUUGGGAUCGGGAAUAUGGGAAUGCAAUUGAGAUGAGGGAUUGAGAUUGACAGGAACUGCACGGGGCCGAUCUUCAUCUACUGGGCCGCCCACUGCCGCUGCUGUGGCUUUCCUGCUGAGGAGCUCCUUGUGUUCUUCUGCAAGUGCCCCCCAGCAUCACUGCUGUCUCCACUGGUCCGUUAGCCUGCACUUCCUUCCUUCCAUCAGCAGCUGCUCCUACUCUGACCUUCAUUCACACUGGAUGCCGUCCACUUCUAGCACCAGCUGACCUGCGAGACAGAGAAAGGAAAUGUGGCAUUAGCACAAAUGCAGAAGCCUGAGGCUGUGCCAUCACCACAUACUGCAGCCUUGGGAAGUCAGCUGCAACUGCAACCUUUGUCAGAAUUAAAGCAGGCACCAUAAAUUAAGUGUGACUUCUGAACUGACGUAACUGACAUGAUGAACUGACAGAAAUAUCAGUUUUCUCACAAAAAGAAGGCAUUUUCUCCAGGAAAUCCCAGUUUUCUUCCAAAUAUCUCUAAAAAGAAACACCGGAUUUCUCACAAGUAUGAGACAUUUUCUCAAAGAAAUGCCAGGUUUCUCACAAAAAUAAGACAUGUUCUCCAAGAAAUACCAGCUUUCUCACAAGAAUAGCACAUGUUCUCCAAGCAGUAUCAGUUUUCCUUCAAAAAGACAGCAUUUUCUCCAAACAAUACCAGUUUUCUCACAAAUAUCCCUAAAAUGAAAUACCAGAUUUCUCACAAAAAUGAGACAUUGUCUCCCAGAAAUACCAGGUUUCUCUCAAA